rnacentral:piRNA from 1 species
AUGGGCUAAGGGUUUACCUUUCCCCA